rnacentral:lncRNA from 1 species
CCCGGCCGCGUCAGAUUGAGGCAGCAGUGUGGUCGGAGCAGCCUCGAGACCCACGCCGGGCGGGCGCCGCACUUGGAGCGAGCCCCGCGCCCGCCCCCGCGCCGCGCCGCGCCGCACGCCCGGCUCCGCGCUCUCCUCACUCACGCGUCGGAGGAGCGCCCGCCUCCCUCUCACGCCGAGUCCCGGGAUCCUCCAAAUCCGAGGAGCUCCGGCGCCGCGGGGCCGCUUUCCGUCGCCUUCCCCACUCGCCGUACUUCUUUUGGGGUUCUCGGUCUCGGCGCAGCGGAGAGGGGGAGGCGGAGGAGGAGAGAAGGCGGGGGCCGCGGCGGCUGGAGCCGAGAGAAAGUGGCAUGCCCGAACCCUGGAGGCGGAGGUGGCGGAGGACGGGGGAAGACGAUGCCGCAGCUCCGUAGGGGACGUAGACGAGAGCGAGCGAGGAGAGCCGGGCGCCCCGGCGCCUGCCCGCUGCGGGGAGGCGCGCGCCGCUCUGAGACUCCGGCCUCCGCAACCCCGCGCCUCGACGCUGCGGGCGACAGGGCUCGGCUCCAGCAGCCGCCGCCGUCGCCGCCGCCGCCGCCACCCGGAGGACCCAGCAAAAGUUUGGAUCUGGGGGAGGGCGCGGCGCUGAGCGGGAUUACCACCCGGGCUGGAAGGAGACCUCGAGAACCUUCGCAGAUUGCAGAUUGAGCUUAACCAAGAAGUUUGUAGGCUAAUCAAGCCUGGCUUGACCUACAAAAGAAGAAGAGAGCUUUGCCUGCCCACUUGGGCUUGUGUUGACUCGGCUGAUAACUUACCAUCACCUGUUGCCAGUGUGGAAAAUUCUCCCUGUUGAAUUUUUUUUGCACAUGGAGGACAGCAGCAAAGAGGGAAACACAGGCUGAUAAGACCAGGGACAGCAGGGAAAUUAUUUUACCAUACGCCCUCAGGACGUUCUCUCUAGCUGGAGUUCUGGACUUUGACAGAACCCCGUCCAGUCAUCUUGAUUUUGCUGUUUAUUUUUUUCUUUUUAUUUUCCCCACCACUUUAUAU